UAAAGGUCCAUACCCUGUCAGGACGCUUGUAGCAGAAUGUUGUUACUGUGGUCGGCAUUUCUGCUCGGCUUGAGCAGGUUCAGCUAUGCAGACGUUUCUCCUCCACAGUAUAAUAUUAUUGGAUCAGCCGCCAGAAGAGAGAUAGUUAACACUGACUAUGCAUUUUGAUGGAACGUUAUGAGGGAAGCUGUAGCUCAGGUAAUAGACCCUAUGAUGGAGAGAUCCGUGGAGUGGUCACAGGCUUCAGACUGAGCAUUGGGGACGUUGUUCUCUUGAAUUUCGCCUACGAGAUGACAGCGUUCUGCACCAGUGUUGUUACUCAGGAUAUUAAAGGAAACAUUUACCAUGGCAGGAACCUGGAUUACCAACAUGAUGAUAUUCUGUGAAAUAUUGCAGUUGAUUUUGAGUUUGUAAAAAAUGGACAGGUACCUUGCGGCCCAAUGACAUGAUCCCACAGCCUGGCCAAACCCGAAUUGUUCCAUCUCAAAGGUUGGUCUUCUUGGUUCAGCUGGCAGUAAUUGGUGACAAAAAUAUUUUUUAGUAUCAUUUAGAAGAAGUGCAGACAGGGUGGCCACGUGUAAUGUUUGUGACUGCUGCUGUAGAAAGUACAGUGGAGGUGUGGCAUUUCUAGACAAAUGGUGCAGCAGUUAAUUCAGCUGCACAGGCUAUUACCCAUAGUGGUAUUGUUAGAAUCUUAUUGCUCGCCAUGUGUUGCCUCUACCUGUAAGAUAUACAAAGCUGUAUUAUGCAGUGGCCAACAGAAGAACUCGCACCAAGCCACAUUAUAUAUAAUCAUCUCUGAAUUAAAUGUGUAAAUUGGAAACUAAUGGUGACCACAUGGUACAGUUCAAGGGAUAAUGUUCAUAGAUAGCAGCUGUUUGUUUUUGUUUGUUAAGAACUCCUAACAUCCCGCUAGCUUUGUAUUACUAGUCAGAUCUUGUUGUUUGAAAAUGUACUGUAUAGAAGUGUGUCUGGUCUGGCUCAUGCAGUGGGUUAUUGCACUGGGCUGAAGCUCGCCCCUAUCGCUGCUGUAUAACUACAGAGAGCUUUAAUCUAUUGUUGCCAAUCCAGAAGCUUUCAUGAGCACCACAUGUGAUCACAUCAUUUGAAUAGAAAAUAAUACUGAUGAUAUAUACACAACUUUCUUUGUCAUUGUGUAUUUCAUAGAACUCCUGCAAUCAAGGCACUCAAUGCUACUGGGCAAGAGAAUAUCAAUUUGGAUACUCUUUUCAAAGUAUUGUCUGUGAAGCCAACCCUCAACAGUAUCACCAUUUAUACAACUGUCAUGAGUGCAGCUUUCCCAGAAAUGUACUGGACAGAAGUUAGAAAGAAAACAGUGUGUUUUUUAGAUUUGCUGUUUUAAAAAAAGAACAAAAAGGUAUGUAUUUAAAAAAAAAAAAUCUGUGAAUGACCCAAGUAACAAAUCCUACUCAGAGGUUACAAGCUCAGCCCCAGUAUAUCAAAUCUCUUCUCUCUAUUCCCUACUUCACCUUGCAGUCAGACCACAGACUCAAUCACACGUGGAAUUACUCAUCUGCUAAAUCACACUUAAAGAUUCAAAAUCAUUUGAAGAACAAAAUACUAUAUAAAAAAAAAAAACUUUAAAAUGCCAAAUCAUACAUUUACAUCUUUGCCUACCUUCUCCCCUGUUUACAAAGAGAGAAUGCAAGCUCAGUAAAGCUAAUUUUGGUGACAUACUGUAUAAACCAUUGCACAGUAUCUGCUUUUCACCAAUCAAAGCAGUUUGACAUGUGGAGGUGUGUUUGAUAUGUUUGAUGUUAUUUGAUAUUGCUGUUGUGCAGCAGUCCUAAGGCAAAGUCGGUGAAGUCGUUUGUGUUUAUUAACUGAAGGAGGCCCUUGCAUGUUCUUAUUAUCUUACAGUUGUUGCAAAAGUAAAUGUUUACAAUUAAAGGAAUAAACUUCAAAUAUCCAAAA